rnacentral:tRNA from 1 species
UGCGGGUGUAGUUUAGUGGUAAAACUACAGCCUUCCAAGCUGUUGUCGCGAGUUCGAUUCUCGUCACCCGCU